AGGGUAGACAAAUCUACUACUCCUAUUGGUCUGCCUGUUGGUGCUGAGUGGAUGUCAGUGGUUAGCUGGGCUCUUCUUGGCCCAGAUCCCAGUCCCCAACUGAGCUGAGCCUGGAGACAGCCAGCAGAAGGGACCUGAAGCUUGUGGCAAGGCAAAACGCUGGAUACAUGAGAAAGUGUUUUCCGGGGCUCUGAGAAACACUGAGACCUCUAAGCCUUGUUACCAAGAAUGUCUCCUGUCAUGGCCUCCCAGAAACUAAAGAGGAGCAAUUGGGAGUGUUCUCAGCAUUAAGUCUUUGUGCAGACAAGGGGAGUGGCAGGGAGAGAGGUCUCUGCCUGGACAUUUUAUUAAAUGGGCCCUGGGGGAAGCACAGAUCCACAUCAUCCCAGAUGAACCCAUGACCCUGCACAAUAGAGACCUGAGAGGCAGAUGUGUGGUGCCUUUGACUUGGAAAACUUUUCUGCCAUGGCUCCCAUUUCACCCAAGUUUGGUACCAUUUUUCAAGUUUAGUCAUCCAUUCACCUUGGAGGCCCAGACUUUUCUCAUCUCCCCUUGUAAAGGACAUGCUGGCUGGCUGGCUGCUUUCUUCUGGAGCCCUUGGUUUCUUAAACGAUAAUGAAUGAAAGAUCCAAAUCUGUCCCACACAGGUAAUC